UACGUAGGGGGCAAGCGUUGUCCGGAUUUAUUGGGCGUAAAGAGCGUGUAGGCGGCCAGACAGGUCCGUUGUGAAAACUCGAGGCUCAACCUCGAGACGCCGAUGGAAACCGUCUGGCUAGAGUCCGGAAGAGGAGAGUGGAAUUCCCGGUGUAGCGGUGAAAUGCGCAGAUAUCAGGAAGAACACCCGUGGCUAAGGCGGCUCUCUAGUACGGUACUGACGCUGAGACGCGAAAGCGUGGGGAGCGAACAGG
rnacentral:rRNA from 1 species